rnacentral:lncRNA from 1 species
GAAAGGAAAUAAGAAGAAUUAAGCUUAAAGGAGUUCUCCAAUUUGUAGUGCUCUUCUGAGCAAUUGUUGUUUGUAGUAUUCAAGCAUUUGUUUCAGUGAGGUGCUUGAAUACAUUUGAAGGUUCUCUUCUUUAUAUGUGUAUUUAAGAGAAAUGAUGUAUUGGGUAUUUUAAGACAGUGAGGUUAAGAAUUAUUUUGUGUUCCACAUUUGUUCACCACAUUAGUGGAAACUUGUGAUCUCCCUCGACAUAAACAACUUGCGAACCAUGUAAAUCUUGUAUGUUUUUUUUUUUUUUUUUUUUCCCCUCUCUCUUCUUUCCUUUGUUAUUAUCUCGCAUCAUUGUUUAACACGUUUCCGCACAACACAUAUCAUGCCGUUAAGCUAGCUACUGAUUUCUUUUUUUAAAUAAAACUCCCAAAGCCUUAUCUAGAGAUAUUAUAAAUCUUUGGUUGGAAAUCGUAUUAUUCCUUUAUAACGGGAAAUUUUUUUCUCGAAAAGUCGAAGGUGGGAAACAUCCAAUCUAAUCCAAAAAUUAAAAUUCUUCGAAAAUGAAAACUAAAAUCAAUUAUGGUUGAUAUUUUCA